rnacentral:tRNA from 15 species
GCGGGCGUAGCUCAGUGGUAGAGUUCCAGCCUUCCAAGCUGGCUGUCGCGGGUUCAAAUCCCGUCGCCCGCUCCA